AGUUAACAGAGCAAAAACCCAUUUACUUCAGUUACAGACGGCAACAGCAGGAAAAGCAAAAGCCUGAACGCUCUCAGCUUAAAGACUGGAAGCAGAUCAGAGAAAUCAGAAGCAGAAGGCAAGCUAACGUUACAGGAGUCACUCUCAGCUGCGAGGCGCUGUUCCCCAAGCGAUUUGAACGUGACCCUGAGAGAGUCUGUGUUUCUCUUACUGUGGAUCUGUCCAGCAGCAUGCUGUGGAUGCGUGUCUCACUUU